rnacentral:rRNA from 1 species
CGCAUCAGCCAUGGCGCGGUGAAUACGUUCCCGGGCCUUGUACACACCGCCCGUCACACCAUGGGAGUUUGUAACGCCCAAAGUCGGUGGCCUAACCUUUAUGGAGGGAGCCGCCUAAGGCGGGACAGAUGACUGGGGUGAAGUCGUAACAAGGUACC